GACGAACGCUGGCGGCGUGCUUAACACAUGCAAGUCGAACGAAGAGCGAUGGAAGCUUGCUUCUAUCAAUCUUAGUGGCGAACGGGUGAGUAACGCGUAAUCAACCUGCCCUUCAGAGGGGGACAACAGUUGGAAACGACUGCUAAUACCGCAUACGAUCUAAUCUCGGCAUCGAGGAUGGAUGAAAGGUGGCCUCUACAUGUAAGCUAUCACUGAAGGAGGGGAUUGCGUCUGAUUAGCUAGUUGGAGGGGUAACGGCCCACCAAGGCGAUGAUCAGUAGCCGGUCUGAGAGGAUGAACGGCCACAUUGGGACUGAGACACGGCCCAGACUCCUACGGGAGGCAGCAGUGGGGAAUCUUCCGCAAUGGACGAAAGUCUGACGGAGCAACGCCGUGUGAGUGAUGACGGCCUUCGGGUUGUAAAGCUCUGUUAAUCGGGACGAAAGGCCUUCUUGCGAAUAGUGAGAAGGAUUGACGGUACCGGAAUAGAAAGCCACGGCUAACUACGUG
rnacentral:rRNA from 1 species